rnacentral:lncRNA from 1 species
CGACGCAACCCAGGCCCGGUCUCCCCGCCGCAGCCAAGCAGCGCCCUCGGCCGGCGCCCGCCAUCCCCGGCCCGGCCGCCCGGCCGCAGAACCUCUGUCCAUGACCAAUGGAUGACCUCAGGACAAGAAUGCAAUAACUUGGCCUGAUGUUGUGAAGUCACGGUCCAUCCAGGGAUGGGCAAGAGGAUGACCAGAACCAUCUCGAGAGGGGCUGGAAAGCUGCCUCACGUAUGUGGUCCUGUGCUGUGUCUACAUGUUCCUCACUCACCUCUACAACGCUCAUGGCACGAGGGAGGAAAUGGGGUGCAGAGGCUAAGGAACGUGCCCAAAGCCCUACAGCUGGUGUAUUAGUAAUCUACUGCUGUGUAACCAAUUGCCCCAAAAUUUAAAUGUGUAAAACAACAAAGACGUCUAACUCAUGGUUCCUGUGGGUCUGGAAUCCAGGAGAGGCUGGGCUGGGUGGUCUGGCUCAGUGAACUUGCCAUCAAGAUGCUGCCAGGGCUGGCCAGGUGCAGUGAUUCACACCUGUAAUCCCAGCACUUUAGGAGGCCGAGGCGGGCAGAUCAGGAGGUCAGGAUUUUGAGACCAGCCUGGCCAAUAUAGUGAAACCCCGUCUCUACUAAAAAUACACAAAAAUUAGCUGGGCAUGGUGGCAGGCACCUGUAAUCCCAGUUACUCAGGAGACUGAGGCACAAGAAUCGCUUGAACCCAGCAGGCG